rnacentral:rRNA from 1 species
AUUAAACGCUGGCGGCAGGCCUAACACAUGCAAGUCGAACGGUAACAGGAAACAGCUUGCUGUUUCGCUGACGAGUGGCGGACGGGUGAGUAAUGUCUGGGAAACUGCCUGAUGGAGGGGGAUAACUACUGGAAACGGUAGCUAAUACCGCAUAACGUCGCAAGACCAAAGAGGGGGACCCUCGGGCCUCUUGCCAUCGGAUGUGCCCAGAUGGGAUUAGCUUGUUGGUGGGGUAACGGCUCACCAAGGCGACGAUCCCUAGCUGGUCUGAGAGGAUGACCAGCCACACUGGAACUGAGACACGGUCCAGACUCCUACGGGAGGCAGCAGUGGGGAAUAUUGCACAAUGGGCGCAAGCCUGAUGCAGCCAUGCCGCGUGUAUGAAGAAGGCCUUCGGGUUGUAAAGUACUUUCAGCGGGGAGGAAGGGAGUAAAGUUAAUACCUUUGCUCAUUGACGUUACCCGCAGAAGAAGCACCGGCUAACUCCGUG